rnacentral:rRNA from 1 species
UACGUAGGGCGCAAGCGUUGUCCGGAAUUAUUGGGCGUAAAGAGCUCGUAGGCGGUCUGUUACGUCCGCUGUGAAAUCUCAGGGCUCAACCCUGAGACUGCAUUGGAUACUGCUCUGCUAGAGUACUGGAGAGGAAACUGGAAUUUACGGUGUAGCAGUGAAAUGCGUAGAGAUCGUAAGGAAGACCAGUGGCGAAGGCGAGUUUCUGGACAGUUACUGACGCUGAGGCACGAAGGCCAGGGGAGCAAACGGG